rnacentral:SRP_RNA from 1 species
GCCGGGCCCGGUGGCGCGUGCCUGUAGUCCCAGCUACUCAGGAGGCUGAGGUGGGAGGAUCGCUUGAGCCCAGGAGUUCUGGGCCGCAGUGCGCUACGCCAGUCGGGUGUCCGCACUAAGUUCAGCAUCAAUAUGGUGACCUCCUGAGAGCGGAGGACCACCAGGUUGCCUAAGGAGGGGUGAACCGGCCCAGGUCGGAAAUGGAGCAGGUCAAAACUCCCGUGCUGAUCAGUAGUGGGAUCGCGCCUGUGAAUAGCCACUGCACUCCAGCCUGGGCAACAUAGCAAGACCCCGUGUCUU